GCCUCGAUAGCUCAGUCGGGAGAGCGUUAGACUGAAGAUCUAAAGGUCCAUGGUUCAAUCCCGGGUCGAGGCA
rnacentral:tRNA from 1 species